rnacentral:misc_RNA from 1 species
AACGCACAUUGCGCCUCUCGGUAUUCCGGGAGGCACGCCUGUUCGAGCGCCAUUACACACCCCAAGCUCUGCUUGAUGUUGGACGACGUCUGUGACAAGACGGGUCUGGAACGCGUUGGCGCCGCCGACGGACCACGAGCGUAGCAGGACGCAAGUCAUCGCUGAGUUGGCUCCGGACGGAGGGCGGCCUCUGGCUCCUGGUAACGCAGGAGCCGACAGCCCAUCACAAGUUUGGCCUCGGAUCAGGCGGGGAUACCCGCUGAACUUAA